UUGCAAGUAGCUACAGGCCCGGGAGCCGAUCUGGGCUUGAGGCUGUGGGCUUGUGGGAAGGAAUACUGCUCUCAUUUUUCUUUGGCUUCCUCAGCAUCUCAGGAGUGGGAGUAGGGUAAGGAAGAAGGUGACUGUGUCUUGUAAGAUGAGACUUUCCCAGCAGGAUUCCUGGGUGCACAGGCCAGGUGGAUGAGCCCAGUGAGCAGACCACAAAGGAGACACCUCCUGGCCUGAGGGUUUUCUCUACUGCCAAGAAGCAGCUGAUCGCCAGCAUCCUUGACCUCAGACCUGCCACUUUUUAAGCUCCAUCAGAUCUGCUGCUUCCUGUGGUGACUGGUGGGCCUGGCUGUUGUGGGCAUGCUGUCUCUACUCAGUCAUCCUGAGCUGCUGCUGGCUGGGAGAGAGGCGCGGACUGUGGACCCGGGACUGCAGAUGCUGUCUCUGCGCACACAGGCACUUCUGUGGCCGCAGCACACUGGUGUGGAAGGCCUCUUUCUCCACCAGCUUCACUUCCUGCUGGGCUCCCCAGUCACCACCGGCAGCUCCCUCUCUCCUUCAAGCCCAGAACCAACCCAGCCUCAAGCCUUUGUUGCCAGAGUAACAAGCCUUCCCUGGGCCUGGGAUGCUGAUGGAAAUGUACUGGGCAUUUGGGGGGUUUCCCAGGUUGAAGAACUGACACUGUGGGGGGUGGGGAGUAAUUUGUGGGGAGGGAGCUGGGCCCUGAUUCCUAGGGCUCUGCUAUCAGCCCAGGUUUCUGCUUCCCAAAACUCUGUGUCUGAGGCCUCAGGUUCUUGAGCAUGCUUCCUGGUUGCCGUGGCAACCCAACACUUGCAGAACAUGAUUGGAGACCAGCUUUGUGACCAUCCCCUUGACCUUGAGAUGUCGAAGGCCACCGGAUGGGCCUGGCUGGACAUAGACCCUCCCCAUCAGCUUCUCCACACCGCAGGGCCUCCCUCUGGCCGCCCCUCCCCAUGUGUGGACAUGGCUCCCCCUUCCCUUUCCCCACACAGAGGGACCCCCAUUUAGUCAUUCCUCUAUAAUCCCAACACCACGCUUCCCUCCCCAGUACCUCCAACACACCACCUGUCUCCCACCUCCCACCCUUUCUCCUCCUACCUCUGCCUGUUUCCCUUGGCAACUCUCUGGAGCCUCCUGGAGACGCCUCAGGACAAGAUGGUCCUUCCUGACCAAAUCCUUCCCACCACGGGGCCUCCAGUCCCAGCUCCCCAAGGAUGGGCAUGCAGCCAAGGUGAAGGUGUCGUUCAGGAGGCCAGAAGUCUGCAAUCAGUUUCGCUGAGCUGAAAUCAAGGUGUGGGCAGAGCCGUGCUCCCUCCAGGGCCUCUAGAGGAGGAUCCAUCUCCUGCCUCCUCCAGCGUCUGCUGGCUGCAGCGCUCCAAUGUCUGCCUUUGUCACAUCGCCACCUCUUCUGGAUCAUCUCCUGCUGCCUCCCUCUCAUACAGACACCUGGGAUUAGACCUGAUAUCUUUGGGAAGCUGUUAUCAAGUCGACCACAACAGCCUUCCCCCAAAUACACACACAGUUGUGACUGCUUAGUGCGUGAGUUGUGGGAAUCGGCCAGGAAAGGAUUUGAAGAGGAGUCAUCAUUAUCCCGGGACCAGCUAAGCCAAACUCUCCAGAGCCUCCAGGCAGGCCCACCUGGGCAUGGGGAUGUGGAGCAGGAAAGAGUGGAGGGGACAACUGUAUUUCUCCCCAAGUUGUGCAUCCCAUAGUCCUUACCCAAAGGCCUCUCUGAUGCCACCUGCCCUGCUCUCAGAUUGGGAAGCACUAGGGAGUUUGGGUAAGAGCCUGGGGGUAGGCUGAGACAAACCUGGGGGUGGACUGAGGCAUCUCCACCUACCAGCUGUGGUUCUCACAGUGUGGACUAUGGGCCGGCAGCAUCGGCAUCACUUGGGAGUUUAUGAGAAAUGCAAUUUCUCGGGCCCCACUCCAGACCUACUGAAUCACAAACUCUGUGGCGGAGCCCAGCAUUCUGUGUUUACUGAGCCCUCCGGGAGAUUCCGACGCACCCUGGAGUUUGAGAAGCACUAUUUUAGACUUUUCAUUAAGAAAUGUGGAUGGGGUGUCCCACACAGCAGAACCCGAAGGACCUCCAACUAGAAUAUACAACUAUGUACCAGGGGCUUUGGAGAGAAGAAGAAAAAGAUUGGCAGCAGAUGUUAGUCCAGGGCCAAUCUUAAAAAGAAAUAAAACAAAAUGUGGAUGCCAGGACCUACAGCAAACACACGGACACAAUUGGAAAUAUUGCUUAUCUUACCAAAGCUUUGACUGGAAUGUCAUAUUUGAGAGAAGCAUACAGGCUCAGAUACGACAAGACAACUUUUGAGGAAUAAAGGUUGACUUCCUGGGAUAAAGCCACUUGGAAACAUUAGCCUGGUACCUUGUUUACAAGGAUUCCAGCAACCCAGAAAUACUCGUUAUCAAAUACCUGGUUACUUGCUAACACAAUAUAGGCUGAACUUUGGGAGCCUACCUGCAUCACCAUCUUACUAAGAGACUGGUUCAAUGAGAUGGAACAACCUAUGCCCCUCAUCAAAAGGAUAAUCCCUCAAGACUGAAGAUGAACAACAAAAGAGGGGAUUGAUGCCAGUCAACAGAAUGUUGACAUAAGGGAAGCCAUAUUGUAAAACAGAAACCAUACCGUAACUUUGAAUGACUUCUGAUUAACUAACCCAGACAUGGUCUGUAUAUUUUAUGAACCCUCUCAGCUGCUAUAAGAUGAUAACUUUGCUCUUUUGAGUUCCUUAGGAAUGUGAUGACCCCC
ensembl:lncRNA